CAAGAGCCCUGGCAGUUAAGCAAACGCCCUUGUCUGUGUUCUGCCCAGUGCUCUGAAU
rnacentral:precursor_RNA from 1 species